UACGUAGGGGGCAAGCGUUGUCCGGAAUCAUUGGGCGUAAAGAGCGUGUAGGCGGUCCGGUAAGUCGGCCGUGAAAGUCCAGGGCUCAACCCUGGGAUGCCGGUCGAUACUGCCGGACUAGAGUUCGGAAGAGGCGAGUGGAAUUCCCGGUGUAGCGGUGAAAUGCGCAGAUAUCGGGAGGAACACCUAUGGCGAAGGCAGCUCGCUGGGACGUUACUGACGCUGAGACGCGAAAGCGUGGGGAGCAAACAGG
rnacentral:rRNA from 1 species